rnacentral:ncRNA from 1 species
UGUUGAGCUUGACUCUAGUCCGGCUUUAUGAAGUGACUUAGGGCGUAGCAUAAGUGGGAGCUUCGGUCAUCUUGAAAUACGACUACUCUUAAUGUCAUUUUUAUGUAUUCCGUGAGACUGAAACUUGCAUCAUGUGAGCUGUUGAUUUAACGUUGCCUCUUUGCGCCUCUUUUGGCAGCUGAUCUGUGCGGAAGACAUAGUCAGGUCGGGAAUUUGGCUGGGGCGGCACAUCUCUUAAAUGAUAAUGCAGGUGUCCUAAGGUAAGCUCAAUGAGAACAGAAAUCUCAUGUGGACCGAAAGGGGAAAAACUUGCUUGAUUUUGAUCUUCGGUACGAAUACAAACUGGGAAAACAUGGUCUAUCGAUCUUUUAGGUCUGAGAAAUGUUGAGCCAGAGGUGUCAGAAAAGUUACCACA